CAAAGGAAGCUAUACAGCAAUUCGGUUUCGGCCCGAAAGUAGAAUUAUAUUUCCCUUUGU
rnacentral:tRNA from 1 species